GGCUACAGCCAUGCUACCCUGAACAAGCCCGAUCCCAUCUGAUCUCGGAAGCUAAGCAGGGUUGGGCCUGAUCAGUACUUGGAUGGGAGACCAUCUAGGAAGACCAGGUGCUGUAGGCA
rnacentral:rRNA from 1 species